rnacentral:rRNA from 1 species
GGGCCCGCACAAGCGGAGGAGCAUGUGGUUUAAUUCGAUGAUACGCGAGGAACCUUACCUGGGCUAGAACCGAUACUGCCGAUAUGUGAAAGCAUAUCUUCCUACGGGACGGUAUUGGAGGUGCUGCAUGGUUGUCGUCAGCUCGUGCCGUGAGGUGUCGGAUUAAGUUCCAUAACGAGCGCAACCCCUACUGUUAGUUGCCAGCGAGUAAUGUCGGGGACUCUAGCAGGACUGCCGGCGCAAGCCGAGAGGAAGGUGGGGAUGACGUCAAAUCAGCACGGCCCUUAUGUCCAGGGCUACACACGUGCUACAAUGGUCGAUACAGAGGGCAGCUACUUGGCGACAAGAUGCGAAUCUCGAAAAUCGAUCUCAGUUCGGAUCGAAGUCUGCAACUCGACUUCGUGAAGUUGGAUUCGCUAGUAAUCGCGCAUCAGCCAUGGCGCGGUGAAUACG